GCGGCGGCGCGGGAGGGGAUCUGUCGCCAUGGCGACCGCAGCGGAGGGGCUGCCCGAGGCCGGCGCGCAGCCCGCCAAGCAGGAUCCCGCUGUGGAAACAGCAGAGGAAGCUAAGGAACCAGCAGAAGCGGACAUCAAUGAGCUCUGUAAAGAUAUGUUCAGCAAAAUGGCCACUUACUUAACGGGUGAACUGACAGCCACCAGCGAAGACUACAAGCUCUUGGAAAACAUGAACAAGUUGACGAGCUUGAAGUACCUCGAAAUGAAAGAUAUUGCUAUAAACAUCAGUAGAAAUCUGAAGGAUUUAAAUCAAAAAUAUGCUGCUCUUCAGCCAUAUCUGGAACAAAUCAACCUAAUUGAGGAGCAGGUUGCAGCUCUGGAACAGGCAGCUUAUAAAUUGGAUGCAUAUUCCAAAAAACUUGAAGCCAAGUACAAAAAACUGGAGAAACGAUGAAACUGCAACUGUCUUUUUAAGUUGAAGUUGGGCUGUGGGUCAAACUGAUCUCUGAGUUGCACAACAUCGGUUUUAUAUGUUGACAAGGAUUUGGUAAUAGCUAACAUAACCUACCAAUCAAAUACUGGAAUUGAAUGGAACGUGACUCAGACAGGCUCCAUACUGUAAUGGCAGUGUGCUGGCAAUUAUGUGCAAGUCAGCUCCAUUAUCAGAUGUGUACCAUGUUAUCAGACCUUGUGGAGACAAACCAAGUUGGGUACAGAACUGAAUACAGGGUCAAGGCAGUCAAGGGGACAGAGUGACAGUAGUCAGAUAAAUACGGUCACAUAUUUGCAAGAUGGCCACAAGAGGGUGAUGUUUCAGCAGAGAAAACUUCCAUAAGAUAAAGUAGUUAAAAGAAAGGACCAGUAUUCUGUUAAAACUAUUGCUUUUCUCCUUGAAGAAAAAGCUGUGCUGUUUUAAAAUUACAAAGGUGGAAAACUCCAGGAACUCUGAAGAUGAGAAACCAUCUAGCUAUGUGUUGCACUUUGUGUUUUCAAGUAAAAGAGUUAAGACAUAGUAAACUGCUCCACAGACUCCUGAGUAUUGCACCUGCAGGAGGCAGAGACUGGAGAUGCCUCACAAGCGACUGUUCACUGGGAGAAAAUUUUAGAGAAUGAGUACCUGAGUGAUUAUGUGAUGGUGGCAUCCCAAUUAUGCCAGGAGCUGGCAACUGUGUUCUCAUUUCUGUCUUUAAACAGCCAUUCUCCUCUCUGAGGGCUCUCUAUGUGAGUGGUGGAAUCCAAAUCAUGGCAAGUUUGGCAGGUCUUUGAAAAGCAGCACCACAGGAGAGACAUGGUGAAAUUCCUUUGAACAGCGUAUUGCUAGCAAACUGUGUAGUCCAAAAGGUUGCUGUUCAAAUAUUUUGCCUGGAAAGUCCAUGAGACAUCCCAGAGGAAGCACAGGGAGAUGGUAAACCUUCCUCUCUUCUCUUCUGUGGCAUUUCCUGGUGCAAAAGAUAAUAAGAAAAUAGUAGUGUUUGAAGAAAGAACAUGGAAGAUCACAGAGGAAAGAGGGUUGAUGGAUUAGAAUCAAGGGACAGAGUAUUUCAUUAAAGUGAUUUGUGCAACUGCUUUGAAGCUGAAAGCAGUUCUUGACAAGUUGAACUGCAACUGCAAACUGGAGAUAAAACUUAUCCUAGCAAAUACAGCAAAUAUGGCAGAAGUUAUCCAAUAUUGGUCUCUAGCUAAAUAUGUUACGUGUGCAGCGUUGCACCUGAUGGCAAGCAUACAAGAAAAAAAAGCAAUAUGUAGAGAACAAACAUUCUGUGAAAUUAUGAUGAGUUUUGUUAAUGAGAGAUUUGUUAAUGAUUAAUGUUUGUCCCUGCUUUCUGGUAUUACAGUAGAAUGAAGUGGAACCUUGACAGAGGUCAAGGUUCAAAAAAAUUAAAAAAAAAUAAAAUAAAGCAGUUCAUCCAA